ensembl:lncRNA
AUUAGUUUUUAAAACAUUUUUAGUAUACUAUAUGACAUCAAUUUUUAUAAAUACAUUUAUAAAAUUAAUUACUUUUAUAUUUAAUUUUUAUAAAUAUUUCUACACAUUAUUACAUUACAAAACAUGUUGUAGCAUUAUUUAUAAAUAAUGUGCAAAAAUAUCAAAAAAAAUUUUAUGUUGUAAUUUUUUUUUUAUUUUAUAUUAUUGUGUUUUUAUAAAAAAAAAAAUUUACAACCUAAAAAAAUGGCUGCAAAAUAUCCAACCCUAGGUGAUUCAUUUCCAUUAAAUUUGACUAAUUUAAAUGAAAAUGCAACAAACACGUUAGAAACAAAUGCAACUACUUUGAGUACAGUUUUGUGUGAGAAUAACACGCAACAGAUUACACAAAAUAUAACUGAAAACUUAUUAAAUAAUACACAGCAAUACACAACUCCUGAAAACCAGUUGCGUAUAAUUGAGAGAAAUUUUGCUAAUACAACUAAUUCGCCAGUUGACGAUUCUUUACAACAAAUAAUUUUAAUAUUAUAUGUCAUAGUAGCUUUAUUAAUUAUGAUAAUACUACUUAUAAGCGUUUAUCUUGUCUUUAAAUUAAGCAAAACAUAUAUGCAGAAGCGCUGUCAUAGAGUAGUUUACAGUGCACUUAAUCCAUGUUAUGUAGAUGGGAGCAAUUUUGGUAGAAGACAUAGAUCACCACACAGUGGUAACAGAAUAACACAUGGACCAACGACGAGGUCAUAUAGACGUACAGGUAGUACAUAUCCAUCACGUAAUCGUGUAGGUUCAACCGCAGGAGAUUCAAGAUUGCGAGAAACUUUAUUGCCGACUGUAUCCACUCAAAAUCAGGCAUAUGAAACUCCAAUUGAUGGUCGUCGUGGUAGUGAGAAUGAGGUAGAGCACAUAUAUGAAACCGUUGGUAGUGCUUCACCCACUAGCACCCAUGUAAGCAAUGUAAGCCUUUUGAGUAUAACAUCUUGCACAGGCACUUUGUGCAGUACAACUUAUGGACUAAGUGAAAUUUUUGGAACUGAUUCAAGCGAUACCUCUGAUGAUAGCGAUGGAAUAUUUGGAGAAGUUAGAAAAGUUGGAACAGAUGAUACAGAUGGAACAAAUGGAACAAAUGGAACAGAUGGAACAGAUGGAACUGAUGGAACGGAUGGACCCGAUGAAAACGAUGAACACAAUGAACCUGAUGUAGAAAAUGCAUAUCCUUACAAGUUUUCGGGUGGUUUGGGAACUAAUUUAGUAGGGUAUUUAUUGAACAAAUAAGCACAUCUGUAAAGUGUCUAUGAAGUGGAUAUGUUUUCAAAUACGAGUGAUUUUGAAGAAUAACAUAUUCACAUUUGUAUAUAUAUUAUAAAAUAAACCCUUUUUAUAUAUAUUAUAAAGUGUAUAA